UCAUUCAGUGUAAUGAGAUCAGGAAACCAUUUUGAAAUUAAAUAAACAAACAAUAGUCAUCAAGCAGUCUGUGACAUCAUCAAAAGGCCCCCUGAAGACCAUGUGGUGAUUCAGCAAGAUGCCCACAAACAAAGAGAAAGUUUCUAGGCACUGGCAGAAAGUUAAUGCAGACCCAGUAGCUAGGGCAAUGCAUUUAGCAAGGAGACGAGAAAGCAACCAGAGAAGAAAGCAAGCUGCCUUGGCUGCAAAUCCUGAUCACCUGUCAAUCAGGAAUUUAUCAGAUGCUGCAGCUGAGAAGAGGCGAAAGCAAUGGCGGGAAAAUCAAAGAAAACACAGGACAGAAGCUAAAUGUAUAAGGGCAGUUCUGGAUCUUAUUAUACAGUAUUACCACCUGUUCAGUUAAUUUUUACGAAUAUGAUAUGCAUUAUGGAAUAAAAAUGAUUAUUAAUUUCAGCAUCUACUUCUGUGAUUUGUUAAGGAAUAAAAUGAUACAGAAUAAUAUUCAAAACAUUGCAAUAAUGGAAACAAUGACACUAUUUUUGUCAAAAAUGUCAUUCAGUGUAACAAACCAUGGUCAUUCGGUGUAACACAUAUAUUUUGUAGAAAUGAA